AGUGAAUGUAAACGUGUCUUUUUAUUUAUUGUCGUAAUAUCUUUCUUAUUUCUCACAGCGCCUGUGGUCGAUCUGCUUACGGCUGUGAAGGUCUUGUCUGGCUCUACAGUUGAGAUUGCAGCGGCUUCUGUUGGCGAGAAAAGUCUGGUGAAUGCUGUCCAACAAAUACAGGAAGACAGGGAAGCACUGAACUCCUCAGAGGAGGUGGUAAAACCAGAGAUCCUAGAAGCGCCCGCAGAGUCCUUCGCUGAGACAGCAGCGGCUGUGGACGAGGAGGAGGCAGAGUCUGCAGAGGCUGCUGCUGAUGAUGAACUCUCUGACGAUGAGGAAGUGGUCGCAGAGGAGGCCCCUGCUCCUGCUCCAGCAGAGGAGGCAUUCACAGCUUCCCCUCAGGCAGUAGAUGAGGUGGUGGAGGAGGCGGUUGAGGAUCCAGUUCUGAACCCCGACGCACCUCCUAAAGAAGCCUUUUUUGUUAUUGAGGCCUCGCCUGAAGACGCUUCACCAGCCGAGCAAGUCACCAUCGCAGCCGAAGCCCCUCCAGCGGAUGGCGCCUCGGGAGCCCAGUCGUCAGAGGAAGCUUUGGGAGAGGAGGCGCCUGAAGCUGCCUCCACACAGGCGCACGUGACUCAGCUGGCAGCAGCCUCCACCGCGUCAGAGCCGCACGUCCUUUCAGCUGCCGAGCCAGAGUCAGACGCUCCAGGCCACCGGGCCGAGCACUGCCACUCCUGCCACUCUGCUCCAUCAGCAGAGGAGGCAGCGCCACCUACUGAUGCAGGACAGGAGCCCAUCAGUGAGGGAGGUGUGGAUACGACACAUGAAGUCAAGGAGGUGGCGUCCCCGGUGACGAAAAAGCCAACUGUGUCUAUCUGGACUGUAAAAAGCUGCUCAGUGAUGUAAUAGUACAAUUAAGAAGAUAAAGUUAGAACUUCAGAGAAUAUGAUGGUGACAUCCGAGUCCUGACAUGACAGACAGUGUGCCUUCCACAACACUUGCUUCUCUGUCAAUAUAACCAGUGAAAACAUCAGCACAAGUCACAGGUCAAAUGAUGUAAUGUGGCUUUCUUGAAAUAGACAUUUGUAAACAUUCUCCUUGUGAAUCUGGUUUAGGUUUUGUAAACUAAAUCUCCUUUGUCCUGUAGGUGCAACAGUCGCAAAACCAGUUCAUGUUUAAAUGUACCGGUAGCCAAGUAAUAUCUGCAAAAUCUUAUUGUACACUUUCUCAAGCAUUGUACUCUAUUUACCUACAUACAUUAGCAUAUAUGACAUCAUAUAAAGGGAUAUUUUUGAUGUUUGUGCUACAGUAUAGUGUAUUAGCAGGCCUGACAUAAGGUGAUACUUAUUCAAAAGUCAUAUAAUGUAUUACUAGCACAAAAGAUAACAAACAGUAAAAAUAUUGCACACAUGUGUUUCUGUAGAUUGCACAAACUUUAAUUUUGCAUAAUACAUUUUCAGUUUUGAGUCUUAUUGCAUAUUAAUACAGAUAAUAAUGCUGAAUAGUAAUUACAAUGUGGAAAUGAUCACUAUAAUCAAUACACUGUAUCAAACAAUAGAUAUAUCAGCUUUUAUUUUGUUUAUUGUGAUGUGAAUGUGUCUUUGCUAUUAUGAUAAUGUGUUCAUGUAAACAAAUAAAGUGAUGUGUAAACAACA
rnacentral:lncRNA from 1 species